UACGUAGGGUGCAAGCGUUGUCCGGAAUUAUUGGGCGUAAAGAGCUCGUAGGCGGUCUGUCGCGUCGGCUGUGAAAUCCCGAGGCUCAACCUCGGGUCUGCAGUCGAUACGGGCAAACUAGAGUAUUGCAGGGGAGACUGGAAUUCCUGGUGUAGCGGUGAAAUGCGCAGAUAUCAGGAGGAACACCGGUGGCGAAGGCGGGUCUCUGGGCAAUAACUGACGCUGAGGAGCGAAAGCGUGGGAGCGAACAGG
rnacentral:rRNA from 1 species